CAGUGGCGUACGGGUGAGUAACACGUGGGUGAUCUACCUCUUAGUGAGGAAUAACCCUGGGAAACCGGGGCUAAUACCGCAUAAGCCUUAGCAGGGAAAGUCGCAAGACGCUGAGAGAGGAGCCCGCGGCCGAUUAGCUAGUUGGUGAGGUAAAAGCCCACCAAGGCAGAGAUCGGUAGCCGGCCUGAGAGGGCACACGGCCACACUGGCACUGAAACACGGGCCAGACUCCUACGGGAGGCAGCAGUGGGGAAUCUUGCACAAUGGGGGAAACCCUGAUGCAGCGACGCCGCGUGAGCGAUGAAGCCCUUCGGGGUGUAAAGCUCUUUCGUCAGGGAAGAUAGUGACGGUACCUGGAGAAGCAGCUGCGGCUAACUACGUGCCAGCAGCCGCGGUAAUACGUAGGCAGCAAGCGUUGUUCGGAGUUACUGGGCGUAAAGGGUGUGUAGGCGGUUCCUUAAGUUUGGUGUGAAAUCUCCCGGCUCAACCGGGAGGGUGCGCCGAAUACUGAGGGACUAGAGUGUGGGAGAGGAAAGUGGAAUUCCUGGUGUAGCGGUGAAAUGCGUAGAUAUCAGGAGGAACACCGGUGGUGUAGACGGCUUUCUGGACCAUAAC
rnacentral:rRNA from 1 species